UCUCGGAUAGUAUAGUGGUGAGUAUUCCAGUCUGUCACAUUGGCGACCCGGGUUCAAUUCCCGGUCCGAGAG
rfam:Smittium culicis strain GSMNP scaffold-2855, whole genome shotgun sequence.